rnacentral:tRNA from 1 species
GGGGAAUUAGCUCAGCUGGCUAGAGCGCCUGCUUUGCACGCAGGAGGUCAUCGGUUCGACUCCGAUAUUCUCCA